AUUGAACGCUGGCGGCAGGCCUAACACAUGCAAGUCGAACGAGUGGAGGACGGGUGAGUAAUGAUUGGGAAUCUAGCUUAUGGAGGGGGAUAACUACGGGAAACUGUAGCAAAUACCGCGUACCAUAGGAUGAGCCCAAGUGGGAUUAGGUAGGUGGUGAGGUAAAGGCUCACCAAGCCGAAGAUCUAUAGGUGGUCUGAGAGGAUGACCAGACACACUGGGACUGAGACACGGCCCAGACUCCUAAGGGAGGCAGACGUGGGGAAUAUUGCGCAAUGGGGGCAAGCCGACGCAGCCAUGCCGCGUGGAUGAAGAAGGCCCUCGGGUUGUAAAGUUCUUUCGGUAGCGAGGCGUUAACUACAGAAGAAGCACCGGCUAACUCCGUGCCAGCAGCCGCGGUAAUUC
rnacentral:rRNA from 1 species